UAGACAGAGCCAUUAGCUCAUCUUUGUCCAAGUAUAUAACUAAGUAGUGAGCGAGAGAGUUUCACAAGUGUCGCCCACAAUUUCAGUCGGGCAAUAUAUCUGCACCAGUACUUUUCGUCGUCAUUAGGGGGAUCAGCGAUGGCACCUCAGGAUUCAUUAAGUUUCAAGGUGCGGAGAUGUGAGGCUGAGCUGGUGCGUCCCGCGAAGCCCACGCCUCGUGAGUACAAGAGGCUUUCUGACAUUGAUGACCGUGAAGGCCUCCGCUUCCUGAUCCCUGUGAUCCAAUUCUACCGGGGUGACGACACAGGAAGAGACCCAGCGAGGGCCAUCCGGGAGGGCCUUGCCAAUGCACUGGUGUUCUACUACCCCUUCGCGGGCCGCCUGAGAGAGUGGCCAGGCCGGAAGCUGGUGGUGGACUGCAACGAGGAGGGGUGGCAUUCGUGGAGGCCAGUGCAGAUGUCACCCUUGACCAGUUCGGGGACGCCCUCCACCCUCCCUUCCCCUGCCUGGAGGAGCUUCUUUUCGACAUUCCUGGCUCCUUCUCCGUCCUGGAUUCCCCACUCUUGCUCAUUCAGGUGACUCGCCUCAAGUGUGGGGGCUUCAUCUUCGCGGUGCAUCUCAACCACACCAUGAGCGACGCGACGGGGCUGGUCCAACUCUUGAAGGCCGUGGGGGAGAUGGCGAGAGGUGCCAAUGCCCCCUCCAUUCUCCCCGUGUGGCAAAGGGAGCUGCUGGAUGCCCGAGACCCGCCCCGAAUCACGUGCAACCACCACGAGUUCGAUCAGGUGGCCGACACGAAAGGCACGCUCAAUCCACUCGAUGACAUGGACCACCGCUCCUUCAUCUUCAGCCCUGCCCAAAUGUCCAUCCUCCGCAAUGGGUUGCCUCCCCACCAGCGCGUGAGAUCCACGUUCGAGAUCCUGACCGCGUUUGUCUGGCGAUGCCGCACCAUUGCACACCAACAUGACCCCGAGGAGGAGGUGCGCCUGCUGUGCAUCGUCAACGCCCGGUCCAAGUUCAACCCUCCCCUGCCAGCCGGAUACUAUGGCAACGCGUUCGCGAGUCCCGGGGCAGUCACGAGCGCGGGCAAGCUGUGUCAGAACCCAUUGGGGUAUGCGCUGGAGUUGGUGAAGAAGGCCAAGGCGGAAGCGACGGAGGAGUACAUGAGGUCGCUGGCAGAUCUUAUGGUGAUAAGGGGGAGGCCCCGUGGCACGGAGGUGCGGUCCUUUAUGGUGUCGGACACGACCAAGGUCGGGUUCGGGGACGUGGACUUCGGUUGGGGGAAGGCCAUGUAUGGAGGCCAGGCCACGGGCGCAGUUGGGGCCAACCCCGGGCUCGCCAGCUUUUACAUCCUCUCGAGGAACUAUCAAGGCGAGACCAGCAUCAUCGUCACGGUGUGCUUGCCAGCCCCAGUCAUGCAAAGAUUUGUGCAGGAGCUGUACGCCAUCCUGAAAGGUCCACCGGCUACCACUAUGCACAAAGAGAAGUCACCCGUUAUCCUUUCUUCCAUGUGAAUUCAUCCGCCUACGCAAAAUGGGUAUGGUAACAACAAUUCCGUCUUGUGCGAUGAACUCCUUCGGACUUUAUGGGAGCGAAAACUCGUACCUAUAAAUCACCAUUUUGUUAAAAGAGAACCAAGUCUUUUCUACCUUGUAAUUGUUCACGUUAAUUUGACAGUCUGCAGUUGGGAAUUGAUGUA